CAAGCUUAGCUCGUUGCUUCCCGCCUGGCUCGGGCAGGGAGGUGGUCCCGGGGCCUUUGGGUGUCGCGAGUCGGGAAGGUGCGCACGUGAAGUGGGACGCGGGGAGACCGGGUCUCUCCACAGCCUGUCAACUUCUAAGCUUCGGAGCAGAGGCAGAAGAGCCCAGACAGCAGGAAGCACAGCCAGAAACAGUGCCAGAAUGAGCCGGAUCUGGUGAUGUCACUAUCUCUGGAAACCACAAGCAUCUGUGACAGUGGAAUGCCUGAACCUGCUUUGAGAAGACCAAGGGGAGACAGGAGGCCACUUCAAUGGAGAGCUUGUGGGGAGGUCUAUGGGUAAGAGGCUGCCUGGAGUUGGGACAGGAGCAAUACAAGCACCGCUGUGGCCACUGGGACAGCACUGGGUCAGACCUGAAGCCGGCACAGCACUGUGACUGCCCAAGACCCCCACUGUAACAACAACCCAGCUGCCACCUGUUUCAGGCAAGGCCCCAUGGCUCUCCAACUAGCAGGUGGACACAGCUGCCAGUCUCUGUACCCUGGGAUUCCUCUAAACCUGCCAAGCAGUUUGUGAGACAAUCUCAUGAAUUACUUUACAUCUAUCAAACAUCUAUCCUACAAAGAACUGAGCAAAAUGAACGGCUGAGUAAAGAUUAAAGCUUUCCCUCCAGCAUCAUCUAUCUCUCUGCAUCUGGAAGCACCACUCCUGCUUCCCUCCAGCAUGUGCUUAGCAUUCCAAAUGACUUGCAGCUGUUGGAAAAUGGCCUGUAUCUGGUCCAGUGCCCAUUGAGGGCUUUGAUUCUAGUGCACAGCUGGAGCCUUCUCCCCUCAACUCUAACUGGAUGCUAAAGAAGUAAGUAAACCAAAUCUCUUUUCACUCUUCUAACCAUACAUUGAAACACAAGAACGUUUUAUAAAGCAGUAGUGGUGGGCAAUAAAGUCUUUAGAACUUUAAUAAAUGUGAAUGUGAUUCGGAUUUCCUAGCUUGCUUUCUCCUUAGAUUUCUGUAGCAUAUUCUCAUGAAGUAUUUAUUUAUUUCUAGUAGUUUGAAUUAAAAGCUCAUCUGCCUUUUUAUUGUAAAAGAAGCCAGUCUUUGAUGAGCUUUAAGCUUCGUAAAACUAAUGCAUCAUGCCUAUUUGAUAAACCAGUGGUUCUCCAAAUGUGCUCUGUGGACCUCUGGGAUCCCCAAGACCUUUUUCCUAAAGCCUAAGAUGUCAAAACUGUUCUGAUAAUAAUAUUAAUUCACCCUGAAAAACCUAAUAGAAAACUUUUUUUAAAUUGUGAAAGUAAUACAAAGACAUUGCCUGCUUUUUCACUGAUACUGCCAUGACUGUAUAAAAGCAAAAGUGUGUAAAACUGCUGGUUUCUCAGCAUAAAUCAAGGCAGUGGUACCAAACUACACUAGUAGUCAUUCUAUUCUGUACUGUCCCUUACAGCUAA